CACAGCUGCUCCUACUACAACUGCUGCUCCCACCACAUUCACAGGUGCUCCCACCACAUUUACAGCAGUGCAGACCACAUUCACAGCUGCUCCCACAAUAACCACAGCUGCUCCCACUUUUCCAGCAACAACAUUUCCAACCACAGAGACCAGUGCUACAACUAUUAAUACCCCCACAUCGCCUCACACUUCCAGUACUACAUUUUCUCCAACUUCAAGGGUUUGCACAUGUAGACUGAUGUCUGUUUCAUGUGUGAGUAGAAUAAGGUCUUCCUCAUUUAACUGGCAAGACUCAAUAACAAGAGUUGUGACUUUCACAUCUAUGAACAACACCUUAACAAGGGAUUUCCUGAAUUCAUCGUCUGCAUCCUUUGCUAAUCGGUCUUCACUGAUGAAGAGACAGCUUGAACCCUUCUUCCAGAAAAGGUUUUCUUCCUUCAGUUCCCUGGAGGUGGCUACAAUAAGAGAGAGAUCCGUCAUACACAUCAUGAACCUUACGUUUAGAACCACAUCUGCUCCUGAUGACGACGAGAUAAGGGAUAUUCUGAUCGAGGCAGCUUCAUCGGUUGUCGACUUCAACAUCGACACAAAAUCGAUAAGCAUUCGUG